rnacentral:rRNA from 1 species
GAUGAACGCUGGCGGCGUGCCUAAUACAUGCAAGUCGAGCGAACAGACGAGGAGCUUGCUCCUCUGACGUUAGCGGCGGACGGGUGAGAAACACGUGGAUAACCUACCUAUAAGACUGGGAUAACUUCGGGAAACCGGAGCUAAUACCGGAUAAUAUAUUGAACCGCAUGGUUCAAUAGUGAAAGACGGUUUUGCUGUCACUUAUAGAUGGAUCCGCGCCGCAUUAGCUAGUUGGUAAGGUAACGGCUUACCAAGGCAACGAUGCGUAGCCGACCUGAGAGGGUGAUCGGCCACAUUGGAAGUGAGACACGGUCCAGACUCCUACGGGAGGCAGCAGUAGGGAAUCUUCCGCAAUGGGCGAAAGCCUGACGGAGCAACGCCGCGUGAGUGAUGAAGGUCUUCGGAUCGUAAAACUCUGUUAUUAGGGAAGAACAAAUGUGUAAGUAACUAUGCACGUCUUGACGGUACCUAAUCAGAAAGCCACGGCUAACUACGUG